CACGUAGGGGGCAAGCGUUGUCCGGAUUUAUUGGGCGUAAAGAGCUCGUAGGCGGUUCGGUAAGUCGGGUGUGAAACCUCCAGGCUCAACCUGGAGAGGCCACCUGAUACUGCUGUGACUCGAGUCCGGUAGGGGAGCGUGGAAUUCCUGGUGUAGCGGUGAAAUGCGCAGAUAUCAGGAGGAACACCAGCGGCGAAGGCGGCGCUCUGGGCCGGAACUGACGCUGAGGAGCGAAAGCGUGGUAGCAACAGG
rnacentral:rRNA from 1 species